GCGGGCGUAGUUCAAUGGUAGAACACUAGCCUUCCAAGCUUGGUACGUGGGUUCGCUCGCC
rnacentral:tRNA from 1 species